GACGAACGCUGGCGGCGUGCUUAACACAUGCAAGUCGAACGGAAAGGCCCUGCUUUUGUGGGGUGAUCGAGUGGCGAACGGGUGCGUAACAGGUAAGUAACCUGACCUAGACUUUGGGAUAACUUCAGGAAACUGGGGCUAAUACCGGAUAGCAGCCCAUGCUCCAUGGUGGGGGUUGGAACGUUUCGGCGGUUGGGGAUGGACUCGCGGCUUAUCAGCUUGUUGGUGGGGUAGUGGCUUACCAAGGCUUUGACGGGUCGCCGGCCUGAGAGGGUGACCGGCCACAUGGGGACUGAGAUACGGCCCAGAGUCCUACGGGAGGCAGCAGUGGGGAAUAUGGCACAAUGGGCGGAAGCCGGAUGCAGCAGCGCCGCGUUCGUGAUGACGGCCUGCGGGGUGUAAACCGCUUUCGCCUGUGACGAAGCUUGAGUGACGGUAAUGAGUAAAUAAGCACCGGCUAACUACGUG
rnacentral:rRNA from 1 species